rnacentral:rRNA from 1 species
GAUGAACGCUGGCGGCGUGCCUAACACAUGCAAGUCGAGCGAAGCACCUGGAAGUUUUCGGACAGAAGGGUGACUGAGCGGCGGACGGGUGAGUAACGCGUGGGUAAUCUGCCUCAUACAGGGGAAUAACAGCUAGAAAUGGCUGCUAAUGCCGCAUAAGCGCACAGGACCGCAUGGUCUGGUGUGAAAAACUCCGGUGGUAUGAGAUGAACCCGCGUCUGAUUAGUUAGUUGGCAGGGUAACGGCCUACCAAGACGACGAUCAGUAGCCGGCCUGAGAGGGUGGACGGCCACAUUGGGACUGAGACACGGCCCAGACUCCUACGGGAGGCAGCAGUGGGGAAUAUUGCACAAUGGGGGAAACCCUGAUGCAGCAACGCCGCGUGAGUGAAGAAGUAUUUCGGUAUGUAAAGCUCUAUCAGCAGGGAAGAA